GGUUCCAUAACUCAGUUGGUUAGAGUGUGGUGCUAAUACGCUUAUGUAACGCCAAAGUCGAGGGUUCGACCCCCUCUGGGACCA